GUAGGUGGCAAGCGUUGUCCGGAAUUAUUGGGCGUAAAGCGCGCGCAGGCGGUUCUUUAAGUCUGAUGUGAAAGCCCACGGCUCAACCGUGGAGGGUCAUUGGAAACUGGAGAACUUGAGUACAGAAGAGGAAAGCGGAAUUCCACGUGUAGCGGUGAAAUGCGUGGAGAUGUGGAGGAACACCAGUGGCGAAGGCGGCUUUCUGGUCUGUAACUGACGCUGAGGCGCGAAAGCGUGGGGAGCAAACAGGAUUAGAUACCCUGGUAGUCCACGCCGCAAACGAUGAGUGCUAAGUGUUAGGGGGUUUCCGCCCCUUAGUGCUGCAGCUAACGCAUUAAGCACUCCGCCUGGGAGUACGGCCGCAAGGCUG
rnacentral:rRNA from 1 species